rnacentral:rRNA from 1 species
UACGUAGGGUGCGAGCGUUAAUCGGAAUUACUGGGCGUAAAGCGUGCGCAGGCGGCUUUGCAAGACAGAUGUGAAAUCCCCGGGCUUAACCUGGGAACUGCAUUGGUGACUGGCAAGCUAGAGUGUGGCAGAGGGGGGUAGAAUUCCACGUGUAGCAGUGAAAUGCGUAGAGAUGUGGAGGAAUACCGAUGGCGAAGGCAGCCCCCUGGGCUAACACUGACGCUCAUGCACGAAAGCGUGGGGAGCAAACAGG